GAUGAACGCUGGCGGCGUGCCUAAUACAUGCAAGUAGAACGCUGAAGGAGGAGCUUGCUCUUCUGGAUGAGUUGCGAACGGGUGAGUAACGCGUAGGUAACCUGCCUGGUAGCGGGGGAUAACUAUUGGAAACGAUAGCUAAUACCGCAUGACAACAGUUAUUGCAUGAUAACUGUUUAAAAGGGGCAACUGCUCCACUACCAGAUGGACCUGCGUUGUAUUAGCUAGUUGGUGAGGUAACGGCUCACCAAGGCGACGAUACAUAGCCGACCUGAGAGGGUGAUCGGCCACACUGGGACUGAGACACGGCCCAGACUCCUACGGGAGGCAGCAGUAGGGAAUCUUCGGCAAUGGACGGAAGUCUGACCGAGCAACGCCGCGUGAGUGAAGAAGGUUUUCGGAUCGUAAAGCUCUGUUGUAAGAGAAGAACGAGUGUGAGAGUGGAAAGUUCACACUGUGACGGUAUCUUACCAGAAAGGGGCGGCUAACUACGUG
rnacentral:rRNA from 1 species